UUCACUUCACUAAGCUCUUGCCAUCAAAGAAAUCCCUAAACCUUGAAGUUACCAGGUUCCGCUAAAAUAACUGCUAAACAUAUAAACGUUAACAAAUGUUUUACUACCCAAAUGUCCUCCACCGCCAUACAGGAUGUUUUUCCACAAUUUGGUUAGCAGCCACCAGAGGUAUCAGGGUCACUCGCAGAGAGCUUCUCAAAGUCAAUGUCAAGCGAACAUGUAUGGACAUUUUGGACUAUGUGACAGCUCAGGUUCCUCCACCCCAACCCAACCUGCCGAGGCCUCGGUUCUCUCUCUACCUGUCGUCCCAGCUGCAGUAUGGCGUGGUCGUGGUCUACCACAGACAAUGUGCCUUCCUGCUCGAGGAGGUUCAACAGACCAUUGACCGCCUGCUGCGCUCUAAAAGAUGCAUAUGUAUUGACAUUGCUGAGUCUGACAGGCUGGCCUUGGAUAUGCCUGACAGCCUGUACAGGAUGGAGGAGGCUGAGGGAGCUCAGGACCCCUUCUUCGGUCUCAUGGACUCACACCAACUGCCCAGCCCCUAUAAAAUACACCAGCCAACGUUGGUGAAUGAAGAGGCAGGUUCACAGCACUCCCUGGUGCCCAGUCCCCACACCUCACUCGACAAAGACGGUUUCAGGUCACCUCCAGCUGCCAUCACGCUGACAGAGAAGUCGCAGUUGCUCAUCACCCCUGCUGAGUAUUUCGAGGGAGAUGACCUUCCUGAAGCCACGGCCAGAGAGAUUGACUUGUUGAUGGAUCAACCUGAUCAGUUUCGUGGAGAAGUGGCUGAGGCCGAGCAGAGGAGCCGGGGACUUGAAGGAGCCAUGACCUCUAUUGAUCAGUUGAAGGUGACGGAGCUGGGCGCAGAGCGAGACAGUGUGAUGCUACCAGGUGAAGAGUCGGGUCAGUCUGUGGGGGUUCCUCUGGCAGCUGUUCCCCUGGAGAUGACCCCGCCGCAGGUUACCAUGCCAACCUCACCUUCUGGUGCAUCUGGGAAAGAGGGAGACAGAGCAACAGAAAGUCCCAAUGAAGAGGUGGUCGUUCCUCCAUUCAGGAAGCCUGGUGGAGGUCGCAGGCGUCAGCUGGUCUUUGCAGACCCUCAGGUCCAGAUAUCAGACAGAGCAAUGCAGGAACAGAUCAGAAACCCGCUGGCCGAGACACAGGACCUGUCCGCGGUGUUGCUGGAUGUGCCCUCCUUGACUAAGCGUGCCACACCUGCUCAGCUCUUCAGCGCCCCCUGUGGAUGUCAGUGCUACUCUUCACUCCCAGGCUCCCUCCAUACUGACCUCCAAUUGCUAUGGAAACACUGUGCCUCCCUCACUGUCCUGCCUGGACACUGCGAAAAACAGAGGGGGGAGGUGGAAGACCAGGAGGAGGCGAGAGAGGAGUCAGAGCAGGACAGAGAAAUACUGAGGACAGAGAGAAAGAGGACGCACUCAGGCAUGAGGGAGAUAUCCAGUGAGUCAGGACUGCCCCCCACAGAGGGCUCAUCUGCAUUAGAUGUGAUCCUGGACAUGUCCAAAGAGGACAAAUCUGUAAGCGAUGUGAUCACUCCUGUCAGCAGAUGGUCUCCGCAGGAGGAGGCCCAGCCACUGAUGGAGCGUAUAGUGGAGGAGAACAUCGAGAUGCCCGAGGCUCAGACGGACGCAGAGAGCAGUGACAUGCUGAGGUUGAACCCCCUCAUGUACUGCUCACACUUCGCUUGUCUCUUCCAGCUGGAUCUCCUCCAAACUGCAGAGGUCUGGAGAAGUCACCUUUGACUCUCUGGUACCCCCAGAGGCUGACCGCACCACUGCAGCUCACACACUCUACAAAGUGCUGGAGCUGCUGUCUGCUGGCCAGGUGACGGUCCAACAGACUGAACCGUACAGUGACAUCACCAUCAGCCCUGCAGCACUGCCUGAUCACUGACUCACACUACAGUCCUGGACAAGUAAUUCAUGAUACCUGUUUUUCAUUGAUGAAUAUAAUGAAUUAAUUUGAUCCUGUGUAACACAUGAAACACAUCAAAUCUCACACUCAUGAUAUCUUACAUUGUAAAAAAAAAAAAAAAAAAAGUUU